rnacentral:rRNA from 1 species
CCUAUCAACUUUCGAUGUUACUUUCUGCGCCUACCAUGGUGACCACGGGUAACGGGAAAUCAGUGUUUGAUUCCG